rnacentral:rRNA from 1 species
AUUGAACGCUGGCGGCAGGCCUAACACAUGCAAGUCGGGCGAGCGGCGGACGGGUGAGUAAUGUAUGGGGACUGCCUGAUGGAGGGGGAUAACUACUGGAAACGGUAGCUAAUACCGCCUACCAUCAGAUAACCCAUAUGGGAUUAGCUUGUAGGUAAGGUAACUGCUUACCUAGGCGACGAUCCCUAGCUGGUCUGAGAGGUUGAUCAGCCCAACGGGAGAUGAGAAACGGCCCAAGAUCCUACGGAGUGAGCAGGGGAGAAGAUUGCAGUAUGGGUGAAGACCUGAUGAAGCGAUGGCGCGUGGAUGAGGAAGUAAUUAAGGUUGUAAAGCAUUUUCAGUCGGGAGGCGUUACCGUUUUAAGAAGCACCGGCUAACUCCGAUCCAGCAGCCGCGGUAAUUC